rnacentral:rRNA from 1 species
AAAGCUCGUAGUUGGAUUUCUGAAUGGGUGCGGCGGCUCGGUGCUCUUUCGAGCGUCUGAGAUCAGUUUGCAUCUGUUCAUCUUGCCACAAACUGCUCUGACCUUAAUUGGCCGGGGAUCAGGGAGUAGCUCGUUUACUUUGAGAAAAACAGAGUGUUCAAAGCAGGCUUAUGCCUUGAAUGAGUUAGCAUGGAAUAAUUUUAUAGGACUUUGGUUCUAUUUUGUUGGUUGUUAAAGGACCGAAGUAAUGAUUGAUAGGGACAGUUGGGGCCAUCUGUAUUCUGAAGCGAGAGGUGAAAUUCUUGGACCUUCGGAAGACAAACAACUGCGAAAGCAUUUGGCAAGGAUGUUCUCUUUAAUCAAGAACGAAAGUUGGGGGAUCGAAGACGAUCAGAUACCGUCGUAGUCUCAACUAUAAACUAUGCCGACUAGGGAUUGGUGGACGUGCUACUACAACGCCAUCAGCACCUUAUGAGAAAUCAAAGUAUUUGGGUUCCGGGGGGAGUAUGGUCGCAAGGCUGAAACUUAAAGGAAUUGACGGGAGGGCACCACCAGGAGUGGAGCCUGUGGCUCAAUUUGACUCAACACGGGGAAACUUACCAG